AUUGAACGCUGGCGGCAGGCUUAACACAUGCAAGUCGAGCGGGCGAGGUUGCUUCGGUAACUGAGCUAGCGGCGGACGGGUGAGUAAUGCUUAGGAAUCUGCCUAUUAGUGGGGGACAACAUUCCGAAAGGAAUGCUAAUACCGCAUACGCCCUACGGGGGAAAGCAGGGGAUCUUCGGACCUUGCGCUAAUAGAUGAGCCUAAGUCAGAUUAGCUAGUUGGUGGGGUAAAGGCCUACCAAGGCGACGAUCUGUAGCGGGUCUGAGAGGAUGAUCCGCCACACUGGGACUGAGACACGGCCCAGACUCCUACGGGAGGCAGCAGUGGGGAAUAUUGGACAAUGGGCGCAAGCCUGAUCCAGCCAUGCCGCGUGUGUGAAGAAGGCCUUUUGGUUGUAAAGCACUUUAAGCGAGGAGGAGGCUACCGAGAUUAAUACUCUUGGAUAGUGGACGUUACUCGCAGAAUAAGCACCGUCUAACUCUGUGCCAGCAGCCGCCGUAACAC
rnacentral:rRNA from 1 species